GAUGAAGAACGUAGCAAAAUGCGAUACUUGGUGUGAAUUGCAGAAUCCCGUGAACCAUCGAGUUUUUGAAUGCAAGUUGCGCCCGAAGCCUUUUGGCCGAGGGCACGUCUGCCUGGGCGUCACGCAUCGCGUCGCCCCCCCCCCCCACAAUUCUCUGUAAAGAGAACUCGUGUUUGGGGGCGGAUAUUGGUCUCCCGUGCUCAUGGCGUGGUUGGCCGAAAUAGGAGUCCCUUCGAUGGACGCACAAACUAGUGGUCGUCGUAAAAACCCUCGUCUUUUGUUUCGUGCUGUUAGUCGCAAGGGAAACUCUAAGAAAACCCCAACGUGUUGUCUCUUGACGGCGCUUCGACCGCGACCCCAGGUCAGGCGGGACUCCCCGCUGAGUUUAAGCAUAUCAAUAAGCGGAGGA
rnacentral:misc_RNA from 1 species